AUGUUGUCCAUGUUCAGGAGGAAGCUCGGCGGAAUGCCAGUCAAACUAGUCGGCGUUGAUGUCGAGUACACGCACUACGUGAAGCCACAGCCAAUGGAACUAGACAAAUUCCUCAUGAAUGGUGAGUACACCUUCGUUGGAUUCGCCAUUGAAGGAGAUAAAAGCAGGCUGAAGGUAUCUGGUUUGGAGAUCAACUCCGACAACUACAUUGAUAUUCGGGUGGAAUGGAGAGACCCAUACAAUAGAAAGAAGUUUGACUCUUUGGCUGAUGUUGCCGGCAGGAUGAUAGACAUUCACUACCAUGACAUGAAGAAAAAAAUUAACAGCAAGGAGGACCAUACUCUGUGGGGAUUUUGCCCGCUGCCAGAAAAGCUUAUCAAGUAUGCAGCAAUAGAUGCAUUCGCAACAUAUGAGUCGUGGAGAAUCAUC
rnacentral:rRNA from 1 species